AGAGGCGGCCGGCCGCGCUUAGAGCUGAGGGGCGGUUGUGAGGGAACAGCUAAUUAACCCUAAUGAUUUUCGGCUGCCUUCGCAAAGAGCGAGCGAGCGCGGCGCCCUCUGGUCGGUUAAUUCUAGUACUCGGUGCGUGGCGUUCAGCUCUGGGCAGAAGGGACUCGACGUGUUUACCCACCUGUACCUGACGCGCUAGAAAAAAUCCUGUCUUCGUCACCGGCGCCACACCUGCCCUGGCCUCACCAGCCCUGCCGGGAGUGGCGGUGUUUUGAAUAGCUGAGGGCUGCAAGUCAGACGACAGUUAAGAAGGUGGUUUUGUUCUGUUCCUGAAGAUGUGGAUGCAGUCCACCGUUGACUUGUUUCCCUCACUGGAGCCACUGAAUCCCCAGUUUAUUUGGAUACACCAUUUCAGCUUCAUUUUCUCAAUCAUGUGCAAACCUUUCAAAAUGUACUACAUUCUACCUAAUACAUCAUAUUAUAUGCAUGAAUUUACAUGUAUAUAUGUGUGCAUGCAUGUAUUUUCCAAACAAUGCUGAUGUGUUCUCACCAAGCAUUGCACUAUUUGGUCCACCGUGUUCCUUCAUGAUGGUAGUAUUAAUAAUGCAGGCUGAAGUAAUUCAUCCUUAUAUUCAGAACUGGAUAAAUAAAAUGGUGCUCAUUUCUGGGUA